rnacentral:rRNA from 1 species
GACGAACGCUGGCGGCGUGCUUAACACAUGCAAGUCGAACGGUAAGGCCCUUCGGGGUACACGAGUGGCGAACGGGUGAGUAACACGUGGGUGAUCUGCCCUGCACUUCGGGAUAAGCCUGGUAAACUGGGUCUAAUACCGGAUAGGACCACUGCCUGCAUGGGUGGUGGUGGAAAGCUUUUGCGGUGUGGGAUGGGCCCGCGGCCUAUCAGCUUGUUGGUGGGGUGAUGGCCUACCAAGGCGACGACGGGUAGCCGGCCUGAGAGGGUGACCGGCCACAAUGGGACUGAGAUACGGGCCGGAAUCCUACGGGAGGCAGCAGUGGGGAAUAUUGCACAAUGGGCGCAAGCUUGAUGCAGCGACGCCGCGUGAGGGAGGACGGCCUUCGGGUUGUAAGCCUCUUUCAGCACCGACGAAGCGCAAGUGACGGUAGGUGCAGAAGAAGGACCGGCCAACUACGUGCCAGCCGCCGCCGUAA